CCGAUCAAUCCACACGCCAAGGCUUUUGCAGUCUCCACAUACGAGUCUUCUCCAAAAGACUCGAGUCGAGGUCAAAGUCGGCUACCGGCAAGCCUUUGAUCAUUAGCAUCCCAUCCCUCAUUCUCUUCUUCUCUGUCUCCUCACAAAACUAAAUCAUGCUCCUGGGAGUGAUGAUAAAGCUUGUUGGUCUACUUCUGUACCUGAUAAAACCAGCCACGGCAGGGUGUGAAGCCAUGAGCUGUGGCCGCGUCACAAACAUUAGCCAUCCCUUUUGGCUCCGUGACCCACGGCAACCUCCCUGUGGUGGACUUUCUUCGUUUGAGCUCUCCUGCGAGGAUGGUCUUCCCAUUCUGGUGAGUUCUUACAACAGUUCCUACUACCGUCACGACAUCUUCUACGGGAACAAAUCCUUUUGGGUUAGGAACAAAAAUUUCAACGAUGAAGGCUGCGCUAUUCCCAAUUACGACAUACGGGUGGACCUCCCCGGUUUCUUCAGAGUUAGCGCGGUGAACACAGAGCUCCGCUUCUUCUACAAUUGCUGGGCGCCGCCGCCCAUUUAUACCACAAGAAUAGACUGUGCUAUGGUGACAACUCGACGUCACCGCCGUCACCACCGAACCGAUGCAACACGUCAAGGGCACCGGUUUUGUUGCGAGACGGAGGAGGAGAAAGGAGUAGCACAGAAGACAUCGAGCGUCUCUUCAAGAAUAGAUUUCUGGUGGAGUGGGGAGCAGCCGAUGCUUACUGGGAAUGCACAGUUAGCAACGGACGGUGCAGUCAUGACGAUGCAUCGGCGUCAUUCGUGUGUAUCUUCCCGGACGGACGGCACAGUCCCAGGAAUUGCAGAAAGGGCCAUUUCGCAAAGAGUAUUGCAUUAGGUUCGAUGGCAGGAGUCGUGGGUCUCCUGCUGGCCUUCGCUGCAAUAUUCAUCUACGUGCGGAAAAGGCCCAACCCCUGGCUCAGAUCAAGAAACACACGCGAGGGACACGGACAUGAUUUCUUGGAGAAGUACGAAUCCCUGGUCCCCCAGAGAUACAAGUAUCGAUAUCUAAAGAAGAUAACCAAAUCCUUUGGUGAGAAGGUCGGGCAAGGUGUGUUGGUGUAAAUAACUUUAUGCCGUGGCCUCGGGGCCGACGCUGCUCGGUUGGGGAUCCGAAUGACGGGGAUUUUGCACGGCGUCUCUCGAGAUCUCCCGGUGGCCGAUUACGGUGGUCCGGUUGGGACGCGAUCGGACGUCGCGUCGGGAGGAAAGCUUUGCCGCAGCGUCAGGAAGAGGCGACCCCGUUCUUGCACCUACAUACAGGUCGAGUCGGAAGCUCGGCCCGACCCCUCCGACGAUCAAGUUAGUGGAUGCGGAGGGGAUUUUGUAUGAAGAAAUGCUCUUCUUCUAUUCGUUUAUAACUCGGGGGUAUUUAUAGGUGAGUUUAGUGUUACCUGAUGUGCUUGCCCGCAGGAGCAGGAUCGUACCUCUGAUGGCGUCUGACAUUGCCGCUGGCAUUGCGUGGGGAACCGAACGGUCGCAGGGCAUGGGCGAGCCUCGGUUCUCCCCUGCCUUAGCCAAGUAUGUUGGGUCAGACAACGUUGAAGUCGUCGUCUGGGAGCGGAUAACGUCAGCGCAUAUCGCGUCGACAUUAUUGUCCUCUUUGGGGCAGAGUGUCAUCCGGACGUGGCUGACGUCGUGGCGUAUCAUAUCACCAUUAUUACCCUUAUCAAGGUGGAUUCGGAAGCGUGUUCAAAGGUCAACUUCAAGACGGUCGUCUGGUUGCUGUCAAGAUCUUGAGCAGAUCCAAGGAAGACGAGGAGGAGUUCAUCAACGAAGUCGCCAGCAUCGGCAGGACCGCCCACGUCAACGUCGUCACUCUUCUGGGAUUCUGCCAAUAAGGUCAGAGAAGAGGCUGGUCUACGAGUACAUGCCCAAUGGCUCCCUGGAGAGGUACAUCUACUCCGAUCCGCCCGAGACAUCGCUUCCUUGGGACAAACUGUACCAGAUAACAAUCGGCAUCGCCCGAGGGCUCGAGUAUCUGCAUCAAGGCUGCAACACCCGCAUCGUGCACUUCGACAUCAAGCCUCACAACAUCCUCCUCGAUGAGGAUUUCUGCCCCAAGAUAGCAGACUUCGGGUUGGCGAAACUGUGCCCUAGGAAGGAAAGCAUACUCUCCAUGGCGGAGGCAAGAGGAACGAUAGGGUAAAUGGCGCCGGAAGUGUUCUCCAGGAGCUUUGGAGUGGUUUCGACCAAAUCUGAUGUCUACAGCUACGGAACGAUGGUGUUGGAAAUGGUGGGAAGAAGAAAGAACAUAAAAGCACGUGCAGAUGAUAGGCCGAGCGACGCAUGCUUCCCCCACUCGAUUUACCAGUAUCUGGAUGGAGGUGAAGAUGACCUGCGAGCUGGUGAUGUGACGGCGGAAACGGAGGAGAUCCCGAGGAAGAUGAUGUUGGUUGGGUUGUGGUGCAUACAAACCGCGCCGCCGAAUCGGCCUUCCAUGAGAUGUUGGAAGGAAGCGUCGGUGACAUUGAAAUGCCACCGAAGCCAUAUCUUUGCACUCCUUGAUCAACUGUGCAACUCUUCUUCUUGAUGAUGAGAUUAAGCAAAUCUUUGGUUGGCUCUUGCGUGCAUUAUCAUGCUUAUUGUUUUAGAGUCCAGCAAAAACACCUCUGCUAAUUGUCUGCCAUGGGAAAGCAUUUAGUAGCGUAACAGGA